rnacentral:lncRNA from 1 species
AAACCUGCACCUAAUUUUGAAGAAAAUUAAUUAACCACACGGUCUAGCACACGGGCGUGUGGUAUGACCGUGUGCACAAGUCAGAGAGUUACAUGAGGCAAACAUGGCCUGCAACACGGGCGUGUCCCAGGGUCACAUGGGUGUGUCCUAGGGUCACACGGGUGUGUCCCUUGGACCACACGGGCAUGUCAACCCUGCACCUUGGAAAAAUUUUGUAAUUUCAAGAAAAAUUCUUAGAGCUCUCGAUUAAGUCCUGACUUGAUUCUAGUGCUCGUAUUGGGC